rnacentral:piRNA from 1 species
UAAACCUUUUGUAUCCUAACAUUCAACCAGU